GACGAACGCUGGCGGCGUGCUUAACACAUGCAAGUCGAACGGUAAGGCUCCAGCUUGCUGGGGUACACGAGUGGCGAACGGGUGAGUAACACGUGGGUGACCUGCCCUGCACUUCGGGAUAAGCCUGGGAAACUGGGUCUAAUACCGGAUAGGACCAUGGUGUGGAUGCUGUGGUGGAAAGUUUUUUCGGUGUGGGAUGGGCCCGCGGCCUAUCAGCUUGUUGGUGGGGUAAUGGCCUACCAAGGCGUCGACGGGUAGCCGGCCUGAGAGGGUGGACGGCCACAUUGGGACUGAGACACGGCCCAGACUCCUACGGGAGGCAGCAGUGGGGAAUAUUGCACAAUGGGCGGAAGCCUGAUGCAGCGACGCCGCGUGGGGGAUGACGGCCUUCGGGUUGUAAACUCCUUUCACCAUCGACGAAGGGUUUCUGACGGUAGAUGGAGAAGAAGCACCGGCUAACUACGUGCCAGCAGCCGCCGUAAAAC
rnacentral:rRNA from 1 species